rnacentral:lncRNA from 1 species
UGAAUUAUCUCAACUUAAAUGGCAAUCAAUUAGAAGGGCCUUUACCACAAGACAUCAUUAAUUGUGGAGGUUUGGAAGUGCUAAAUCUUGGUAACAACAAGAUCAAUGAUACAUUUCCUCAUUGGUUGGAAAGUCUUACACAACUACAAGUUCUUGUGCUGCAUUCGAAUCAAUUGCAUGGUUCCUUUCAAGAUCCGUGGUCCAAUCAUUCUUUCUCUAAAAUUCAAAUUUUUGAUCUGUCGAAUAAUUAUUUUACUGGUCCACUUCCCGUUAAAUAUAUAAAAAAUUUCAAGGCUAUGAUAAAUCUCUCAAAAGAUAAAAGUGCAAGGUCGUACAUGGGAGAGUAUGUUCCUUCUGCUUUGGCUAACUUCUAUAGCUAUUCUAUUGAAAUUGCAAUAAAAGGAGUAGAGAUUGAAUUGGAGAAAAUAUUCAUCGCGUUGACGAGCAUUGACCUCUCAAACAAUGAGUUUCAAGGUGAGAUUCCAAAGGUUAUUGGAGAGCUUGACUCACUCAAAGGGCUAAACCUUUCUCAUAAUAACCUUAGUGGUUGUAUCCCCACAUCAAUGGGGAAUUUGACAGCACUUGAGUCACUGGAUCUCUCUUCGAAUAAGCUUGUUGGGAAGAUUCCUACACAGUUGAAUAGUUUGGAUUUUCUUGAAGUGUUAAACCUUUCACAAAAUCAGCUCGUUGGACCUAUACCUCAGGGAAAACAAUUCGAUACCUUUGGCAGGGAUUCCUACGCUGGUAACUUGGGACUGUGUGGGUUUCUAUUAUCAAGGAGCUGUGACAACACUGAGGCACCCUUUUUUCAUGACAGCACUGAGGCACUCAUUUUUCAUGUGGAAGCAGAUUCUGAAUCUGGAUUUGUGUGGAAAGCGACAUUCAUGGGUUAUGGAAGUGGACUAGUGUUGGGAAUAUCUGCAGCAUAUAUCAUGUUCACACUUGGAAGACCCAAAUGGCUUGUGAGGAUGGUUGAAGAAGUAGGCUACAAAUUGAAGAGAUACCUCAGAGGACGAAGGAAUUUGUAAAUUAGUAAGAAGCCCUCAUCUGUCACUGGUGGAUAGAAUGGCUUGUGUUCCUUUUAUGUUCAAUAUGAUUUUCGUUUCUUGACUGUGUUUUGUUUUGUCUUGCGCCCUGACUUUUCUUCCAGGGGUUGUAUCAUGUUUUCAAGUUGUUUGUUACAGGGGAUGCCCUGUUUUUGAUCUGGUAUGUUGCUUGGCUGUUGCUUAUAGCCAUCCAAAUGCUUGUUCUCUUUUGUUUUAUUCACCAAUGAUUAUUCCUGGUUGAUAAUGAAUUCUAUUGAAGCAGACUUUGUUUUUUUUUUCUUCCUAGAAUAAAUUUUCUUUCAUACUAAUGAAAUUGUAAGACUGUUAUGGAUGCUAUAUGGAAUUUAAAGAUGAAUUUUCUAUCCCUUUUACAAAUGUUGACAUGAAAUUUUAGUUGAAUUCACCAUGCUUAAAUAACUUUUUUUUUUUUUUUUAACGUUUGAAGGCAGCACUCAGGGAGGAUAACAUUGACACUCGGCUACCUUCUCAAUCAAGUCAAGCAAGCAAAAAGAAAUCUGUGUUACUAGCUAAAGGCAUCUGGGCUGGCAAUUCGUUCAUCACAAACAAAUUUUUCUUUACUUUGCUGAAUCAAAGAUUUUGCUUGUAUAUAUAUGUAUAUAUAUAUAACUGAGCUUUACAUAUAUGUAUAUAUAUAUGUAUAUAUGUAUAUUGAAGAACUGAGCUUUGCUUUUUAAGCUUCAGGUGCUUAAACUAUCCAGUUGCCAACUUGGCUUAACCUUGAACAUGCCUUGGACCAUGUUGAGAACAACAGUAUACGUAGUUACAAAAUCUAGUUACCAUGCCUUCACACUUACAACUUUGACUGGUCAUUACCAAUGGAGCCAAAACUUUCCUAUAAUUUCAGUUGUUCAUAAUAAAAGUCUUGUUCUUUUCAAUUUCAAUUCAUAAUUCAACCUUGUGCUAGUAUUCAGUUGGACUGGAGUUGUUCUAAUGCCCAAUUCAGGUCAUAUUUUCUACCUACUUUAGUUUAAGGAGAGAACUGUAAUUCUAAAGUCUAUGGGGGCAGAUUUUGUCAUUUCUGCUCCUCUUACUUCCCACUUGCAGCAAGCAAAUCUUUCCUUCACCAACCAGACUUCUCCCAAAAACCCCCCGGCUUGGAGUAAUGAAGAGACCGAAGAGACCACCCUUCCAUGGGAAUUCUCUUCAUCCCAAUAAAACCUGAAACUCCCUUCUUUUUCUCUUUCUCCUCUUUCAUAUUUUGUUUAAGCAAGUUUCAAUCUUUUUUCUUUCCUUUUUUCUUUUGUAGAUUAUUGAAUUAUUCUUGUUGAUGAGAAUGGCGCUUGAAUCCUCAAUUCUCAGCCAACCCACUUUCUGUUCUUCAAGAAGGUCCUCGCCUUUCAUGCUUUUUAAUCGAAAUUUGAAGUACCCAUAAAAGUUUUUAUCCAAAACUAAUCACUACCCAGCUCCUAUUAUCUCCAGCUUUUCCAAUCCCGAGGUUUUCAAAGCCUUUGGAUUGCGAAAAACUGGAAUUUUUGGAAGUCAGGCACGUCUGGGAUUGUUAAGUGAAGACAAUGAAGAUGUGGGAAAUAAUCAGAAUCUGAUUUUGGUGAAAAGGGGAAUUUUGGUGGCAAUGGUUUGCAGUGUAUUGGUCUUUGGUUGUAAAAGAGUGUUUGCUGUUGAGGGAGUGGUUAAUGCUGGCUAUGGGGUGAUUGAGCAUUGCAUAUUGUUGUUGAGGAACGCUUGGCCUAAGUUAUCUAUGCUUCUUAAAGCUAAUCUUUCAUCUUCUUCUUCUUCAAUUACACAGUUGUGCUCUCCUGAAGAAGCUGCUGCAUUGAUCCAAUUCAAGAUCUCUUUUUCAAUCAGUGAAUAUUCAUAUUGGGAAUGCGGUGAAUCUUUUCCUAUGACAAAUUCAUGGAAGGAGGGUUCAGAUUGCUGCUCAUGGGAUGGGGUCACUUGUGAUAACAUCAAAGGUCAAGUUAUUGGCCUUGACUUGAGUUGCAGUCAGCUAAAUGGCAGCAUCCCUUUCAAUAACAGUCUCUUCCAUCUUCCACACCUACAGAAACCCAACCUAGCCUUCAACUACUUUAACUCUGCCAAGAUGUCAUCUAAGUUUGGUGGGUUUGCAAGUCUAAUGUAUCUCAAUCUCUCUUAUUCAAACUUUGAAGGACAAGUCCCAUCCCAAGUCUCCCACUUGUAGAAAUUGGUUUCACUUGAUCUCUCUGGGAAUUAUUAUUAACCACAUGACAGACAUACUGUGGAAGGACUUGUUCAGAACCUAACAGAGGUGAGACACCUUUUUCUUGACAGUAUCGAUAUGCCUUGAUGAAUCUACCCUCAUCUUUAAGGACUCUUAAUCUCAAGUACUGUGAUUUGCGAGGAAAAUUCCCAAAAAACAUUUUUCACCUGCCUAACCUCAAGUCCCUCUAUUUAGGAUACAACGAAAACCUUGCUCUCUAUUUAGAUCUAUCAGGAAUGUCCUUCUCAACAAAAUCGAUAGAUUCGACGAUCGGCAAUUUACAAUCUUUGAAAUAUUUGGAUUUAUCAUGGACUUCUUUUCUUGGAGGGUUGCCUGAGUCUAUCACGAAUUUAUCAUCUUUGGAGCAUUUGGAUGCAUCAGACUCAUCUUUCUCAGGAGGACUGCCCAACUCAAUCGGGAAUCUAGUGUCCUUGGAGUAUUUAAGUCUUUCAUCACCCAAUUUAUCAGGAUCAAUUUUGAUAUCAUUGGGAAACCUCUCACAACUCAAUUAUUUAGAUUUGUCAUGGAACUAUUUUAGUGGACAAAUUCCAUCUUCACUUACAAAGCUUAGGCAACUUGAAUUUUUGGACAUUUCUAAUAAUCAACUAGAAGGUUCCAUUCCUGAUGAAGUAGCUGCCUUUCCUAAUCUAAUUUCUUUAAACUUAUCUUUUAAUUUGAUCAACGGAACGAUUCCAUCAUGGUUGUUUACAGCUUCCACAUUGAAGUACAUAGCUCUCAUGCAUAAUCAACUCAAUGGUGAUGUCAAGGAAUUUCAAUACAAAUCACUAGAAGAGAUCUCUUUAGAGAAUUAACACUUGGUUACCUUCUUAAUCAAGUUAAGCAAGGAAAAAGAAGAAAUCGGUGUCACUUGCUAAAGUCAUCUGGGCUGGCAAUUCCUUCAUCACAAGCAAAUUUUGCUUUACUUUGCUGAAUCAAAGAUUUUACUAAGCUUUGCUUAGUAACUCCGUGUGCUUAAACUAUCCAGUUGCCAACUUGGCUUAACCUUGGACCAUGUUGAGAAGAACACUAACUGGCCAUUACCAAUGGAGCCAAAACUUUCCUAUAAUUUCAGUUGUUCAUAAUAAGAGACCUGUUCUUUUCAAAUUUUAUUCAUAAUUUAGCCUUCUGAUAGUAUUCGGUUGGAUCGGAGCUUUUGCAAUGCCAAAUUCAAGUCUUUUCUUUUCUCAGUUCAGGGUAGAGACGGUUACCUCUAAGAACUUUAGUCUAAGGAGAGAAUUGUAAUUCUAAAAUCUAUGGGGGCAAGUUUUGUCAUUUCUGCUUCUCUCACUUCCCACUUGCAGCGAGCAAAAUCUUUCCUUCACCAGCCAGACUUCUCCCAAAGACCCCUCUUGGAGUAAUGAAGAGACCACCCUUCCAUGGGAAUUCUCUUCAUCCCAGUAAAACCUGAAACUCCCUUCUUUUUCUCUUUCUCCUUUUUCCAUAUUUUGUUUAAACAUUUUGUAGCAGGAUUAGGAACUUAAUUUUCCGCAUUUAGAUUUUCUUUUUGCCCUCACCAUCAUGCCAAUUUUAUCUUCACCUUCCUUAUCAGAAUGAAUUGAGAUCCUCCCCAUCACAAACUUCUGUGUCCAUAAUAAAUAGUAUGAAAAUGUAGCAAAGGUAUUGCAGGCUGUGGCAUUGCAAAGCCAUUUCUUCUUCAUCUUCUUAUUCAUGGCUACCAGCAUCACCACUAAUAGCGACUAUUAAAGUUGAGUUGUGGCUGCAAGCAUCAGCCUCUGUUAGUGAAACAAAAGACAACGGUCAUGUUAUUCAUCCAUUCAUCAUCAUAAAGUUUGUACAAGGGAUAUGUUAAUACAUAUUAUCGCAAGCAUGCACAACACCACGUAAUGGCUUUUGAAGCUGAGCAAGCACGCGCUAAUUUGCUUGCUGUAGAGAUAGGUUGCCCACGUGGCAUUCAUUAGAAGACUUGGAAAGUCUUUUGCUUUUCAUCAAGAAAUGGUCUAAAUAUUAAGUACUGGACAUCCUUGCCAACCAUCAUUCCUAUAAUUGGUACACCAUAAUGAGUAUUUGCUUUUGGACCAAAUUGGUCUACCAAUUGUUAAAAUAACUUGAAAUUUGAAACCAUGGUCUACCGAGAAUCAAACUUUAGACAAUAAGAAAUAACAUGAAUAAUAAACAAAUGAAAUUAGAUGUGAACAUGAAGACAGAUCUCCGAAAGUGAUUAUUUAUUUCUUUUCUCACUCUAUUAUGAAAGGGAAUUAUCAAUUAAAAUUAAAAUUUAACUCUUAUAUUCAUACUUCAAUAAUUCACUUUCAUGCGUUAUCAAUGAAUUACAAAACUGCUAUGGAUAAAAAUUACUAUUCACAUGAUCAAACAAAUGAUUAUUACUACAAAAUCACAAAAUAAAAUAAAUAAACAUCUCAAAUUGAAUUUACCAUAAUAAAAUAUUAUAUAUAUGACAACAAAAAAAAUAUAUAUUUGACAACAAAAAGUUAAAAUUUGUAGGAAGCAUUUUUUGCCUUCCCUGUGUUAUAGACAGUUUCUUUUCCUCUUGAAGACGCGACCAACAUUAAUUUGCUCCUUGCAAUAAUCCCAACCUCCAACAUUAAAAUGAAAAAGAAAAAUGGGUGAGAAGAUAUGGCUUUGGUCAGUCGAGUCUAAUUGACAAUCUCUGUUCCAAAAUUGACAAAGAAACAUCAAUAUGAAAUUAGGACUCUUCUUUUUGUUCUUGCCUUGAAAGAAUUAAAUUCAACAUCGAGAUGGACAUUACCAAAGUAAAAGGGAGAUUCCUAAAGCUUUUCCAUAGAUUUUUGAAGAAGUAUUUUAACUAAUUCUCUCUCAAAAAAAAAAAAAAGGAAUAGAGAUGCUUUAUUAAAGAAAAUUCUAACUAAUACAAAUUAGCUUCAUGUUUGUGAUCCUAAAUCUAAUAAUGUAUAUCUUCAUAAGAUUUCAAGAAAUUAGUUCCAGCAUUCAGUCUUCUUGCUUCUCUCAUGUUUUCUAGUAUAGCCCAGUCAAUACUGUAAAUUGCCCUUGUUGGGGAGAAUUCUGCAAUGUUUCAGUGAGUGCACGUUGUGGGGGCAAUUCCAACACGGUAGAAGAUUAAAUUUCAGCCUGGUGUAGACCAUAUUAGCAUUAAUAAGACCAAGUUUAUAAUGGAAUGAUUGGAUCACACGUCCAUAUUGUCCUUUUACGGAAAUAACCACCUCACCUUUUUCUUUAAGAUUAGUUUAAUUUUUCCUUUUGACAUGUGGUCUUGGUCUCUUUGAUCAUCUCAUAUUUUCUCUAAUAGAAACUCUCUGUGAAAAGACAAAUCACUGAUCUUAAUGAGCUAGAUAAUCUAAUUAAUGAAUCAGAAGAAAAGUCUUGAUAUGAAAAUUUCGACUUUUACUGCAUAUUAUUUACAAAUGACAGCAUCAACCUCAUUCAUCACGCAGAGACUUUGUAUAGGAGACAAGACACCAUGGACAGUUUGAAUAAGGAAUGCAAUGUCUUUGAAGUGUUGUUUACUCUGAAACUUUGAAGUAGCAGACUACUUUUAACAGGAAAAAGUUAGAGGGACUUGGUAAACUAAUUUGUCUUGAAUGCAUUGACGUGAAGUUGGGGUUCUGCAGUGGUAUAAACAUGAUGCAAAAUGGCUCUGAUAAAGGAAAUUUUAUCAUCGCUGCGCUUUUGAAUUAUUGAUUUCUUUAUUUCUUUCUUUUCCCCUUUAAGUUAAAAAGAAACUUACGAACAUAAAGAAUGAAUAAAUAAAAUCAAAAUUAAUACGCGUUUUAGUUAAGAAAAAAAAAAUAAAAGAGAGAAAGACGGAAAACCUUUUCAAAAUGUUUACUUUAGAAGUAGAAGUCAUAUAGAUUUUUUCAUGCACGUAUUUCACGCGAGAAUGGUAAAGAGUGAUACGUCAUUGCUCUAUUCCUCUUUAAUCUGUAUGUUAGAUUAUGGAUUCUUAUCUUCUCUCAUUAUACUUUAUUAGAAAUUUAACAAGAUGGAAUUGAACUUAAUCUUUAUUUUAAUUUGAUAUGAAAAUUUAGAAAAAUGUUAUGAAGCAAAGGGUAAUGGCACUCUCAUAACGACAAUUGGUGUAGACCAUGACUUUUCAUCAACCCAAAUUUGGGGCCAAACUAAAUUUGAGAUACAACAUAAAUAAAUACUACAUUUAUGGUCUUUGUUUCUGUUCUUCCUCUGAAUUAACUUGAAAUUUAUCACCUCUUUUCUUAACACGGCAAGAUUAAUUUAAAGUAUGGUGUACUCCACAUUAUCAUUAAUGUAAAAAAAUAUAUAAUGGAAUGAUUGAAUCAAAUGCCUUUUUUUUUUCUUUUGGUCGGUACCACCUCCUUUUGCAUUCAAAUUAGCUUGAUUUUUUUUUUCUUUUUGACCAAGACCCAAAAAGUUAACAUCGAUAAGCCUUGUUAGUCAUCUUAUCUUCUCUCUAAUUGAAACUCUCCAAUUGUUGUUUACUUCGAACUUUGAAGCAGCAGACUACUUUUCACAGGAAAAAGUCAGAGAGACUUGGUAAACGAAUUUGUCUUGAAUGCACUGACGUGAAGUUGGUGGUUCUGCAAUGGGUGGAUCUCAUGUCCCUACGCCCUAUUUUCUUUAAGAUAGCUCAAUUGACGGUUUAAAGAAGCUAGUUCCAGCGUUAAGGUUUUCCUGCUUAUCUCAUUUUUUCUACAAGGUCAAUGCUGCAAUAUUUUAGUCUAGUGUAGUCCAUAUUAGUAUCUAAUGGAAUUAUUAAAUCAAUUGCUUAUAUUUGCCAUUUAUUGGGCACCACCUUCUUAUGCUUUCAAUUUAACUUGAUUUUUCUUUUUCGCUUGAGACCUAAAAAAUUAACAUUCACAAGCCUUCUUAGUCUUCGUGGACAUUUUUUUUUUCUUGACGAAAAGACAUAAUUGGUGGACAUCUGAUGUGAAAUUGGUGGAUCCCAUGUCCCUAACACCCUAUUUGCUUUGAGGUAGCUUCGUUAUAAAAUUCACCGGUCUUUUUGUGAAUUGACUUAAAAAUUAUUGGAUCCAUAAUUUCCUCAGUUUCCUAUGACACUAAUACUCUUUUCUUUCGUUUUAUAUUGAUUUUAGCAGUUAACAUGGCACCUUAUAUAAUGCCAACUUCAACCACAAGUUUAUAUAUGAAUACAAAAUUAUAUUUGUACAUUCUUUAUAUGUAUAUACAGAGUGAAAAAUAAAUAAAAAAUUAUAUCUCAGAAUGAAUCUGUAUAUGAACGAAACCAGUAAGUUAUAAACUGUGUAUUGUUUACCACUUGGCACCAAUGCUGCCAUUCGUUUGACAUUGGUUUGAGUGGGCAGUUUAUAAAUACUCAUCUAUGCCUUCUCACCACCACUCAUAUCAAUCAUAUCAUACCAUUAUUAUAUUCCAUUUCUCUUCUUAAGAAAUUAAGAUGUGCUGCUUACUCAUCAGAUCCUUUCAACUCCUCUACCUUCUUUUCUUCCUCUUGAAUUUUCAAGCGUAUCUUUCAUCUUGUUCUUCUUCAAUAACACCAUUAUGCUCUCCUGAAGAAGCUGCUGCAUUGAUCCAAUUCAAGACCUCUUUUUCCAUCAGUCAAGAUUCAUCUUGGAAUUCUGAUCAUUAUGCUGGCAUUAACUCUUAUCCCAAGACAAAUUCAUGGAAGGAGGGUUCAGAUUGCUGCUCAUGGGAUGGGGUCACUUGUGAUAGCAUGAAAGGUCAAGUGAUUGGCCUGGACUUGAGUUGCAGUCAGCUAUAUGGCAGAAUCCCUUCCAAUAGUAGUCUCUUCCAUCUUCCACACCUACAGAAACUCAACCUAGCCCACAACAAUUUUUACUUUUCCAAGAUGUCAUCUAAGUUUGGUGGGUUUGCAAGCCUAAUGUAUCUCAAUCUCUCUGAUUCAAACUUUGCAGGUCAAGUCCCAUCCCAAGUCUCCCACUUGUCGAAAUUGGUUUCACUUGAUCUCUCUCAGAAUUAUUAUCAACCACUUGACAGGCAUACUCUGGAAGGACUCGUUGAGAACCUAACAGAGGUGAGACAACUUUCUCUUGGUCAUAUCAAUAUGUCUUCUAUUAAUCCUAAUGCCUUGACGAAUCUAUCCUCAUCUUUAAGGGCCCUUAAUCUUGAGGGUUGUGAUUUGCGAGGAAAAUUCCCAAAAAACAUUUUUCACCUGCCUAACCUCAAGUCCCUCUAUUUAGGAUACAACAAAAACCUCGCUCUCUAUUUUCCAAAGUUGAACUGGACCAGCAAUCUUGAACUUUUAGAUCUAUCAAGCAUGUUCUUCUCUAUAGAAUCGACAGAUUCAAUAGGCAAUUUACAAUCUUUGAAAUAUUUGGAUUUAUUUGGGACUUCUUUUCCUGGAGGGUUGCCUGAGUCUAUCACGAAUUUAUCAUCUUUGGAGCAUUUGGAUGCAUCAGACUCAUCUUUCUCAAGAGGAUUGCCCAACUCAAUCGGGAAUCUAGUGUCCUUGGCGUAUUUAAAUCUUCAAUCAUCCAACUUGUCAGGAUCAAUUCCGAUAUCAUUGGGAAACCUCUCACAACUCAAUCAUUUAGAUUUGUCAUGGAACUAUUUUAGUGGACAAAUUCCAUCCUCACUUACAAACCUAAGACAACUUGAAUUCUUAUCCCUUUUUUAUAACCAACUAGAGGGUUCCAUUCCUGAUGAGGUGAAUGUCUUUCCUAAUCUAAUCUCUCUAGACUUAUGUUCUAAUUUACUCAAUGGAACACUUCCCUCAUGGUUGUAUACAGUUUCCACAUUGAAGCACAUAUAUCUCAACGAUAACAAGCUCAGUGGUGAUAUCAAGGAAUUCCAGUGCAAAUCACUAGAAGAGAUCUCUUUUGGGAAUAAUAAACUCAAAGGUCCUAUUCCAUCUUCAAUAUCCCAACUUGUGAAUCUUACUAGAGUUGACUUUUCACAUCUAAGUGGGUUUGUACAGAUUAACAUGUUCUCAAAACUCCAAAAUCUCCAAUACCUUGAUCUUUCAUAUAGCAGUCUAUCCUUAAACUCUAAUGGUACUAGUGCUGAUUAUGGAUCUCCAAAUCUUCAGUAUUUGUUCUCGUCUUCUUGCAAUGUCUAUGAAUUUCCCCAGUUUUUGAAAGGUUCAAAAAGUUUGGAACAUUUAGACCUUUCCAACAAUAAAAUUUAUGGCAAUAUUCCUAACUGGAUGUGGGAUGUGGGGAAGGACUCUUUGCAGUAUUUGAAUCUAUCUCACAACUCUUUGACAGAUUUUGAGCAAAUUCCAUGGAAGGGAAUUAAAUUUCUUGACCUUAGCUCAAAUUUCAUUCGAGGAGAUCUUUCGAUUCCACCAUCAACAACAGUGAUCUUUUAUAUCUCAAAUAAUAGUUUGAGUGGAGAGAUCCCUUCUCUGCUAUGCAAUGCAAAUUCCCUUGAAUUUCUUGGCUUGUCUCACAACAACUUGAGUGGAAUUAUUCCACAAUGUUUUGGAAACUUAAGCCAAAGCCUUUUAGUGUUGAAUCUACAAAUGAACAAAUUCCGUGGAUUCAUUCCUCCGGCUUUUACAAAGGGAUGUAAAUUGAAUUAUCUCAACUUAAAUGGUAAUCAAUUAGAAGGGCCUUUCCCACAAGCCAUCAUUAAUUGUAGAGGUUUGGAAGUGUUAGAUCUUGGUAACAACAAGAUCAAUGAUACAUUUCCUCAUUGGUUGGAAAGUCUUACACACCUACAAGUUCUUGUGCUGCAUUCGAAUCAAUUGCAUGGUUCCUUUCAGGACCCGUGGUCCAAUCAUUCUUUUUCCAAAAUUCAAAUUUUUGAUCUGUCGAAUAAUUAUUUUACUGGUCUACUUCCCGUUAAAUAUAUAAAAAAUUUCAAGGCUAUGAUAAAUCUCUCAAAAGAUAAAAGUGCAAGGUCAUACAUGGGAGUGUAUGCUCGUUCUGCUGCUGCUGACUUCUAUAGCUAUUCUAUUGAAAUUGCAAUGAAAGGAGUAGAGAUUCAAUUGGAGAAAAUAUUCAUCGCGUUGACGAGCAUUGACCUCUCAAACAAUGAGUUUCAAGGUGAGAUUCCAAAGGUUAUUGGAGAGCUUGACUCACUCAAAGGGCUAAACCUUUCUCAUAAUAACCUUAGUGGUUGUAUCCCCACAUCAAUGGGGAAUUUGACAGCACUUGAGUCACUGGAUCUCUCUUCGAAUAAGCUUGUUGGGAAGAUUCCUACACAGUUGAAUAGUUUGGGUUUUCUUGAAGUGUUAAACCUUUCACAAAAUCAGCUCGUUGGACCUAUACCUCAGGGAAAACAAUUCGAUACCUUUGGCAGGGAUUCCUACGCUGGUAACUUGGGACUGUGUGGGUUUCUAUUAUCAAGGAGCUGUGACAACACUGAGGCACCCUUUUUUCAUGACAGCACUGAGGCACCCAUUUUUCAUGUGGAAGCAGAUUCUGAAUCUGGAUUUGUGUGGAAAGCGACAUUCAUGGGUUAUGGAAGUGGACUAGUGUUGGGAAUAUCUGCAGCAUAUAUCAUGUUCACACUUGGAAGACCCAAAUGGCUUGUGAGGAUGGUUGAAGAAGUAGGCUACAAAUUGAAGAGAUACCUCAGAGGACGAAGGAAUUUGUAAAUUAGUAAGAAGCCCUCAUCUGUCACUGGUGGAUAGAAUGGCUUGUGUUCCUUUUAUGUUCAAUAUGAUUUUCGUUUCUUGACUGUGUUUUGUUUUGUCUUGCGCCCUGACUUUUCUUCCAGGGGUUGUAUCAUGUUUUCAAGUUGUUUGUUACAGGGGAUGCCUUGUUUUUGAUCUGGUAUGUUGCUUGGCUGUUGCUUAUAGCCAUCCAAAUGCUUGUUCUCUUCUGUUUUAUUCACCAAUGCUUAUUUCUAGAAUAAAUUUUCUUUCAUACUAAUGAAAUUGUAAGCCUGUUAUGGAUGCUAUAUGGAAUUUAAAGAUGAAUUUUCUAUCCCUUUUACAGAUGUUGACAUGAAAUUUUAGUUGAAUUCACCAUGCUUAAAUAACUUCUUUUUUUUUUUUACGUUUGGAGGCAGCACUGAGGGAGGAUAACAUUGAAUCCUAUAAUUAAAACUGGAGCAAUGGAAGCUUUUAAUUUAUCUCAAAUUUUGCCCUUUCACAGAGUACAGCAGGCAAGCAGAAGGACUUAACAGCAUCCAAUAGUCAAUGUUUUAAUACCUGCCACUCCGCUACCUUCUUAAUCAAGUCAAGCAAGCAAAAAGAAAUCAGUGUUACUAGCUAAAGGCAUCUGGGCUGGCAAUUCCUUCAUCACAAACAAAUUUUGCUUUACUUUGCUGAAUCAAAGAUUUUGCUUAUAUAUAUGUAUAUUGAAGAACUGAGCUUUGCUUUCUAAACUUCAGGUGCUUAAACUAUCCAGUUGCCAACUUGGCUUAACCUUGGACAUGCCUUGGACCAUGUUGAGAACAACAGUAUGCGUAGUUACCAAAUCUAGUUACCAUGCCUUCACACUUACAUCUUUGACUGGCCAUUACCAAUGGAGCCAAAACUUUCCUAUAAUUUCAGUUGUUCAUAAUAAAAGUCUUGUUCUUUUCAAUUUCUAUUCAUAAUUAAUCCUUCUGCUAGUUGUAUAUGACAACAGAAAAUAAAAAAACAUUAUACUAUUUAUUCGUCAAUUGUUUAGCUCCUUGCAAUGGGAAAAUUUUAUAAUAUGAAAUUAUAAAAAAACAUUAUAUUUAUAAAAGAUAUAGUUUUCGUCAGUCGUUGCUUAAUUGACUAUCUCUACUCCAUAAUUGACACAAAGCCAUGAAAUAUGAAAUUAGAACUCUUCUUUUUGGUCUUGCCUUGAAAGAAUAAAAUCCGAUGUGAAGAUGGACAUUACCAAAGUAAUGGAGAGAUUUCUUAAGUUUUUUUAGAGAUUAUAAAAGAAGUAUUUUGACUAUUUCUUUCUCAAAGAAAGGAAAAAGAAUAGGAGAUGUUCUGCUAAAAAAAUUCUAACUAAAGCAAAAUUAGUUUCAUGUUUAUGAUCCAAAACAUUAGCAAGAAAUUGAAUAUUUAUCGACAAAUUGAAAGCAGAAAAAAGAUUAGCAAGUUUCCUUUGAGGAGUUUUAACCUUACGCCGAAACCCAUAGGACAUUCCUUGCCUAGAACAUUUUCUACUUUUCGUAUACCAAAAGGUCUUCUUUAUAUAAUAAAUUAAUUAAUUAAUAAAACAAAUUGACUGUUUGAUUCAAAGUGUUAAACUAGAGAAAAUUUCACAUGUAUGCACUGCACAGGCGUCUUCGUCAAUUAAUUGUUACUAAUUUGCUUAUUCAAAUCCUUAGUGAAAGACUAUAGGGUCCAAACAUCGUUUGCCUUAAGGAACUAUUGACCUCACUUUUUCUUUUAUUUCUUUAAAAGAAAAAAUUACUGUAUAUAACAAGUAAUUAACAUACGAGAAGUGGGAUCAGCACAUAGAAAAUUGUAAUGGCAACAAAACUUUCCAACCGGAAAAAGUUUAAGAGACUUGGUAAACUAAUUUGUGUUGAAUGCACCUGCGUGAAGUGGGGUUCAUGCAAUAUAUAUAUAUAUAUAUAGGCCACAAAGACUUUUUCAUGCAUGUACAGCAUAAGGUUGAUACAUUGAGGGAUUGGUAUGUGAAUCAGCAUAAAGUUUUCCAAAUGAUUUGGUAUGUUAAAAAGCAAAUAUGAUGGAUUCAAAAGCAUAAAGUGGCAAAAUUGAGUCUUUAUAUAUACAUAUAGUCUGCAGGUGUUAGAUGUCAGAUUAUAAACUUUAAUGAAAUAAUAUUCCAAACUUUGAACAUUUAUAAUUUCAAUUGCUUUCAGACCAAUUGACAAUUAAAUUACCUACUAUAAUUAGAGGAUUGUAACUUACACAGAAGGCUUAUAGCUAAGUUAGACAUGAGGUAAUCAAUUCUAAAUCCAUCCAACUCAAAAAGCUAAGUUAAACUCUCGAUCUUGUCUAUAACAAACUUGAAAACCAUGCAAUCAUUGUUGCCAUUCAAUAGAAAAACAAAGGUCAAUCAUUGUCUGAAAAGUGGCAUUUCAUGUGGCAAAUGAUAAUUGUAGUUACAACAGUAAAACCGUAAAACAUUGAAUUAUACCGAGAACCAAAUCAAGAAGUGCAAUCUGCACAUAGAAAAUUGUAAUGGGGAUAUGAAAUAUAGGCCACAUGGACUUUUUCAUGCACGUACAGCUCAAAGGUUGAUACAUGGAAAGAUCUGAUAUAUAUUUUUUGAAUGGCAUAAUAUAAUUAGUAAAGGAGGGAAGAGUCUCAUCAGAAAAGGAGAAACUCCAAACCCCAAUACAAAGGGGACAUCAAACAGAAAAUCGAAUCCCAGAGCAACAAGGACACCAAGCAAGAACAGUCAGGAAAAAAAGGAAUAACAAAUAGAAGAAGGAGAAAAGCACCAGAAGAAGAACCCGAAAACACAGAAAUUAACCAAAAACUUGAAUCAGGAUAAAGUUUUCCAAACGAUUUGGUAUGCCGAAAGCAUAGUGGGGUAAACAGCAAAAGUGAUAGGUUCAAAGGGAAUACAGUGGCAAAAUUGAAUCCUAUUUGUAUAUAUUUGUCUUUAUCCUCUUUAAUCUGCACAUGUACAUAAUGUGAGAUUAUCCAAAUUCUUAUAGUCUCUAUAUUUCAUUAGAAAUUGAACAAAAUGGAGUUGAAAGUUACUCUCUAAUUUAAUUUGACAUGAAAAUUUAGAAAAAUGUUCUGAUUUUGAUACUUUUAUUAAAGUAGCAAUAAAAAAAUCUAAAUUAAUUUGAGGUAUCUUGAAAAAAAAUCUUCGAAUUCCACCUUCAACAACAAGAUUCUUUUUUAUCUCAAAUAAUAAUUUGAGUGGAGAGAUCUCUUCUCUAAUAUGCAAUGUGAGUUCUCUUAUAGUUCUUGACUUGUCUCACAACAACUUGAGAGGAAUAAUUCCACAAUCCUUUCGAAAUUUGAACAAAAGCCUCUCAAUGUUGAAAUUAGAGAGGAACAAGUUUUGUGGAACCAUUCCUCUAACUUUUGUGAAGGGAUGUGAACUGAAUUAUCUAAACUUACAUGGCAAUCUAUUAGAAGGACUUUUAACACGAUCCAUCAUUAAUUGCCAAGGUUUGGAAGUGCUAGAUCUUGGUAACAAUAAGAUCAAUGAUACAUUUCCUCAUUGGUUGGGAAGUCUUGCACAGCUACAAGUUCUUGUAUUACGAUCAAACAAAUUCCAAGGUUCCACUAGGUCCAGUAAUUCAUUCUCCAAAAUCCAAAUUUUUAACCUCUCAAAUAAUUACUUUAAUGGUCCACUUCCUGUUAAAUAUAUAAAAAUUUGAAAGCUAUGAUAAAUCUCACAAAAAAUGAUAGUGCAAGUUCAUACAUGGGGCUGGAUGCAUAUUGUGGAUCUUAUAGCUAUUCUAUUAAAAUUGCAAUAAAAGGACAAGAGGUUGAAUUAGAGAAAAUUUUCAUCACGUUGACUAGCAUUGACCCCUCAAAGAAUGAGUUUCAGGGUGAGAUUCCAAAGGUUAUUGGAGAGCUUAACUCACCCAAAGGGCUUAACCUUUCUCAUAAUAACCUUAGUGGUUGUAUCCCCACAUCCAUGGGGAAUUUGAUUAGUCUUAAAUGGCUGGACCUCUCUUCAAACAAGGUGGUUGGGAAGAUUCCUACACAGUCAACUAGUUGGGGUUAUCUUGAAGUCUUAAACCUUUUAGAAAAUCAGCUCGUUGGACCUAUACCUCAAGGAAACCAAUUCAAUACCUUUGGCAAUGAUUCUUAUGCUGGUAACUUGGGAUUGUGUGGGUUUCCAUUGUCAAAGAGAUGUGACAACACUGAGGCAUCCUUUUUUCAUGAGGAAGAAGAUUCUAAAUCGUGAUUUGGGUGGAAAAUGGCAUUGAUGGGUUAUGGAAGAGGACUAGUGUUGGGAAUAUUUGUAGCAUGCAUCAUCUUCACACUUGGAAAACCAAGAUGGCUUGUAAGGAUGGUUGAAGAAGUAGGCUACAAAUUGAAGAGAUACCUCAAAGGACGAAGGAAUUUCUAAAUUAGUAAGGAUGCUGUUGCAGACUUUGUAUUUUUCUUCCUAGAAUAAAUUUUCCUUCAUGGUAAUGAAAUUGCAAGCAUGUCAUUGUGUUCGUGGAAUUUAAACUUGAAUUUUCUACCCUUUUUACAAAUUUUGACAUGGAAUUUUAGUUGCAACCACUGCCCCUAUAUAUCUUUCGUCUGUAAGCUAUACGAACAUAUUAAUAUGAAUACAUAGCACAUGAAUUAAAAGAACAACGAAUGAAGUGCAAUUAAGGCAUGAGGUCUUUCUCCAAAGCUUCUCCAACUAAAUUAGUUCUUCUGAUUUGUUGGGGAAUAUAGAAGGUGGGGUUUUAAUUUGUUUAAGCAACAAAAAACUUUGUAUAGAAUAUACUUUAUAGUGGGUUCAUUUCAAAAAUACCGAUCAUAAAUAAGGUAUUUUGGAAAAUAGUCAUCUCUAUAAUUUUAAUUACUUUUAGCCGAGAGAAAUUUAAUUUUGGAUAAAAUUACUCUCAAUGAAACCGAUCCAUAUGUUUAGGUCUGCACCUCAAACCGAUUCAUAUCCUUUGAACUUUCCUCACCAGACCAUACAUCUCUAGAGUGUUCUUUGUUAGAAAGAAAAACUUUUAAGCAUUUUGAGCAUUUUGGAGUAGUUUUUGAGACACGAAGAAAAACUUUUGAGUAUUUUGAGUAUUUUAGAGUGGUUUUUGAUAUAUAAAGAAAAACUUUUUAGCAUUUUGAGCAUUUUUCAUCAAAUAGGUAUAUUCAUUGAUUAUAUUGUUAAAUAGAAUAUGGUGCGUUGUUUGAAAUUGUUGAUUUUGUAAAAUAGAAUUCAAUAGUUUUAGUGGUUUUUAAGCAUUACGUAACCGGUUUUUAGGCAUUACGUGAUUAGUUUUUAAACAUUGCGUGACUAAUUUUUAGGUAUUGCAUGACUAAUUUUUAGGUAUUGCGUGAUUGAUUGAUAUAACAUUACCUGACUGGUUGAUAGGCAUUGUGUGACUAGUUAGUAAGGCAUUGUGUGACUAAUUUUUAGGCAUUACCUGAAAAUCAGUCACGCAAUGACUACAACCUAGUUACACAAUGCCUAAAAAUAAAAAAAACGCAAUGAUUAAGUCAUGCAAUGCUUAAAAAUUUGUCUCACAAUACUUAAAAACUAGUGACAUAAUGUCUAAAAACCAGUAAUGCAAUACUUAAUAACUAAUUGAUUUGCUUGCUUGUAGUCAAGUUUAAGUUGCCAAACAAUGUUCUAAUUUGUAGAUAUGUCUAAUCAAUUUCAACCCCUUAACUUUGGAUAAACGAAUAAAUCCAAACCCCUAAAACAUAUACAUUGAUGUUAUCUCUUCUCUUUGGAAGCACGAGAAAAAGCUAGAUGGCGAGAUAGAGAGUAUUUGGUAGAAACGAGAAAUCAGGAUUUAACUUUAAAAUUUUUGUCUAAAUGAUGGGAUAAAGAAAACCGAAGCUAUUUUAAUUUAUGUGAAAUUGUUUAAAAGGCAUUGUUGUCAAGUCAUGUCAAAAAUUAGCUAAAAAUAGUUUAAAUUAUAAUAAAUAAUAUUUUUGAAUUGAGUUUAUGAGGAAGGUUUCUCACAAUUAUUACAGUUCAAUUGUGGCUGCAAGCAUCAACCUCUGUUAGAGAAACAAAAAACAAGGAUGAACAGAGGAUAAUACCAGCAAGGCAACGGUCAUGUUAUUAAUUAAAUCACAACACUUAUCUGGAACGUAAGAGAAAAUUUUCAGGAAAGAGAUAAAUUGAAAACAAGGAAGUGAAAAUGAUUUUCAUCACUGCAUUAAGCGUAUUUAUACAUGUGGUGAUUUUCAUCAUUGAAAGAAUAAGAACGAGAAAACAGUUAACCUAAAAAUAAGGGAUCAAAGAUAGCAUAUAUCAUUCAAAUAACUGCUGUUUUUAAUGGCUCACGACAUGUGGCCUUUAUUACAGCAUAAUUAAAAACUACUUAAGAAUAAACUUCUAAGUCAGGUGGUUGACAUGUGGACAUCUUUAUCUAUCAAGUACUAUGCCACACCUCUGCGACCGAGACUUCAAUAUCCAUUAUUAUCACACCAAACACUUAGUUUCAGGUCAAGCAUGCACAACACCACGUAAAUCAUGGGACAACAUGAUUUUCUUUGAAGUAUUGUUUACUCUCAACUUUUCUCUUGGGGAGAUUUGUUGGAUGUUUCAUUGAGUGCAAGCAUCUUGGUGGAGUCAAUUGCAACUCAAAGCAUAAACUCUUUUUCUACGAGAAAAACGUUUCAUUAAAUAAACGUUGGUGGAAUUUAUAAUGGAAUGAUCGGUUCAAUUGGAUUCAAUUCCUCUCUUUACUUUUAGAUUAAUUUGAUUUUUUUUUCUUUGCCAAGAUUUGAAAACUUAACAUUGAGAGAUCUUCCUAUUCACCUCAUCUUUUCUCCAACUGCAAUUCUUGGCUGAAGAUAAAGUAGUAAGCUUGACGAGCUAGACAAUCUAAUUAAUAAAUCAGAACAAUAGACUCGAUAUAUACAUAUAGAAGAUCAUGACAACCCAGACUUUUUUUUUUUUUCUAAAAUAUCAUCCUCAUAAGAACUUCUUGUUUUGAAAGUUUUAAGAUUGCAAACUUAAUUUGUAGUUGAUCACAUUAUUAGCAAAGAUAUCAUCCAAAUCAAUUUAGUUUCAAUCUCACAUUAUAACUUUAUUCAUGAAUAAGAUAAAUUACAAAAAAAAAAAAUCAGUGUUUCAUUUUAAAGCCAAAGAAAAAAAAGGAAAUACCAUCCCAUAGUCUAAAAUCUUGAAUAUAAAUUUGAAGUUGUUUAUAUUGUAGGGCUCAAUUCCCGUACCAAUUAAGAUAAUAUAUAUUGCAUAACGUCACCACUUUGGAAAUGAUUUAUAUAUAUAGCGUAAACGUGGGUCUGUGUGGUGGGCCAUUGUCAAAGAAAUGUGGAAACACCAUCUUCAGAGUCUGAAGGAAAUGAUGAUCAUGGAAAUGGAGUGGUGUUUCGCAUGCCUAUAACAUAUAUUAUUAUAAACAAUGUGCCAAUACAAACACAAUCAAAACCUUGAGGUUGUGCCACAACGUGUGUCUCCACUUCCCUUGAGUCUGAUUUGAUGGUUGACUCCCAAAGUUUUCUUAGUGCAUCCAUCCACUAUCACUUUAUCAAUUUAAUAUGCAAAGAAUUCUUCAACUUUUUAGUUAUUUAGUUGCAAUAUUCAAUUUGGAAUUGAGUUUGAAAAGUGUAAAUUACUUGUUUUUCCCCUUAAAUUCCCUCCAUUAAUACUUUAGCAAUGAGUCCGUGGAAAAUCAUACAUUGUAUCACAGAGAAUUUAGAGAAUGAUAUGAGAAAACUGAGUUACAGCUAAGUAGCAGACAGUAAAAAGACUAAAAUAAUAAUAAGUAUCGUUGUUAGUUUUGUUUAUUUUUCUGACCUUGAUAUUUAUCUGUCAAUACUUGGGCAUCCAAUCGUCAAUGUUUUUAAUACCUGAAGAAAUAAUGGUUUUCCUACAGAUAUUAAGUCAGAGCUAGUCUCACCAUCACGCAAACUGUAUCUUAACCUUCCUUUCCAGAGUGAAUUGAGAUCCUCUCCAUCACAACUUUAUAAUUUCCCUCAAUGUUUCUAUUUAUUCUCUAACAUUCUAGACUAAGAAAUUAAAAAUGUCAUGUCUAAGCAUUAAUCUAAAUCAGAAGGUAAUUCUAAGCCUUUGUCACUUGAAAAUCCUUAAUUCUCAGCCAACCCACUUUCAUUUCUUCGAGAAAGUGCUCAUCUUCCAUGCUUUUGAAUCGAAAUUUGAAGUACCCAUCAAAGUGCUCAUUUCGUGGAUACUUGUGCAAUGUUUCAGUGAGUGCGCAUUUGAGGCAUAAACUUUUUCAUUUGCUUUUAAAGGGAAAAACGAGUCAUUAAAUAAACUUAAGACUUUGAAAUUUAUUAGUAGCAAAAGUAUUCAUCCAAUCAAUUUCAAAAGUAUUGAAAUUGCGUGAAGUUGCGUAAAGUGGGGUUUGUAUGGUCUGCCAUUGUAAAAGAAAAGUGGCAUUAAAUAACAUUAGAUGGUUGACCUAUGAAUGUGCAAAUGCCAACACAGUCAAAACCUUGAGAUGUUGAUGGUGCCACAACAUGUGCCUUCACUUUCCUUGGGUCAUGAUUAGAUGGUUGACUCCCAAAGGUUUCUUAGUGCAUCCAUCAAUUAUCACUUGAUCAAUUUAAUAUGCAAAGAAUUCUUCAAAUAUUUAGUUAUUUAAUUGCAAUAUUCAAUUUGGAAUAGAGUUUGAAAAAUUGUGUCAAAUUACUCUUUCAUUAAUAGUUCAGCAGAAAAUAUUCAUUGUAUCACAGAGAAUUUAGAGAAUGAUGUAUAAGAAAACUGAUUUAAAGCUAAGUAGCAGAAAAUGGAAGACAAACAAUAAUUGAGGUGUUUCUCAUUCGUUUAUUUGAAAUUGCUAAUACUUAUCUGUGAAUAAUUUGGUCUUAAUUAGAUAUCAUAUCAACAUAGGAGCAGAAGAAGCUUAAGUUAAGAGACAUCAAAGAAGUAAAAAUUAAAGCACAAUUGAAACUAGAAGUACAUGGUAUAAACAAAAUGCAAAAUUGGCCCAGUUGGAGGAAAUUUUAUCAUUGCUGCACUCUUAGAUUAUUUAUCUAUUUAUUAUUAUUUUUCUUCUUUCUUUUCUUCUCUGAGUUAAAAGAAAACUUACAAAUAUGAAGAAUGAAUGAAUAAAGUCAAAAUUAAUAUAUGUUUUGAUUAAGAAAAGAAGAAUGAAAGAGAGGGAGACAGAAAACCUUUUCAAAAUGUUUAUUUUAGAAAUAGAGGUCAUAUAGAACUUUUCAUGUCACGUAUUUCACAUGAGAAUAGCAAAAAGUGAUACACAAUUGCUCUAUUCCUCUUUAAUUGCGUAUUAGAUUAUGGAUUCUUAUUUUUUCUUAUUAUUUUUUAUUAGAAAUUUAACAAAAUGGAGUCGAACUUAAUUUUUAUUUUAAUUUGAUAUGAAAAUUUAGAAAAAUGUUCUGAUUUUUAUACUUUUAUUAAAGUAAUCAUAAGAAUUUUUUAAAUUAAUUUGCAAUAUCUUUAGAAAAUGAAUAUAACAAAAAUCUUGAAUACAAAUUUCAAGUUGAUUAUUAUUGUUGGCCUCAAUUCCCAUAACUAUUAAGAGACGGUUGUUCAAUGAAUGUGGAAAUUCAAACACAAUCAAAACCUUGAGAUAUAGAUAGUUCCACAACAUGUGUCUUCACUCCCCUUGAAUCUGAUUAGAUGGUUGAGUACUCCCAUAGGUUACUUAGUACACUAUAUCACAGAGAAUGAUAUGAGAAAAUUAACUAUUUUACAACAAAGUAACAAACAAUACAAGGCUAAAAUAAUAAUGAGUACCAUUGAGGUGUUUCCCAUUAAUUUAUUUGAAAUUGUUAAUAUUCUUUAUUUUUUAGAUAUCAUAUCAACAAGGGAGCAGAUGAAGCUUAAGUUAAGAGACAUCAAAGAAGUAAUACUUCUUAAUGAACCAAAUUUGUUAUUUCUUGGUGAUUGAGGCUGACAUAAUUGCUUUUGUUGAAAAACACAAAAAGAGAAAAGGAAAGAAUAAUACAAAACAUAUGAGAUUAUGCAAUUGGUACAUGUUCCAUGUCAAAAACAUAUUGAGUAUUGCUUUUGGACCAGGUUGGUCGACAUAAAAGCUCUCCACGUGACCACCGUAACAUUUUCCUCGAUUUGACACAUCAUCAAUUAUGAACUUCCAAGAAACCUGAGAAAACAAAAUUAUGAACUUGGAUUUGGCACCUCUUGACUAGGCAGCUUAUAAAUACUCAUCUUUGCCUUCCCACCAUUCAUGUCAUGCCAUUAAUAUUCAAUUUCUCUUGUUAAGAAACAUGUGGUGCUUACUCAAAGCCUUUCAACUCCUCCACCUUCUUUUGUUCCUCCUGAUUUUUCAAGCCAAUCUUUCAUCUUCUUCUUCUUCUUCAAUUACACAGUUGUGCUCUCCUGAAGAAGCUGCUGCAUUGAUCCAAUUCAAGACCUCUUUUUCCAUCGAUGAAUAUUCAGCUGGGGAAUGCGAUGAAUCUUAUCCUAAGACAAAUUCAUGGAAGGAGGGUUCAGAUUGCUGCUCAUGGGAUGGGGUCACUUGUGAUAACAUCAAAGGUCAAGUUAUUGGCCUUGACUUGAGUUGCAGUCAGCUCUAUGGCAGCAUCCCCUCCAAUAGUAGUCUCUUCCAUCUUCCACACUUGCAGAAACUCAACCUAGCCUCCAACGAUUUUAACUCUUCCAAGAUGUCAUCUAAGUUUGGUCGGUUUGCAAGUCUGGUGUAUCUUAACCUGUCUUUCGCAUCCUUUGCAGGAGAAGUCCCAUCCCAAAUCUCCCACUUGUCAAAAUUGGUUUCACUUGAUCUCUCUUGGAAUUGUUAUCAACCACUUGAUAGGCAUACUCUGGAAGGACUCGUUGAGAACCUAACAGAGGUGAGACAACUUUUUCUUGGUGAUAUCAAUAUGUCUUCUAUUAAUCCUAAUGUCUUGACGAAUCUAUCCUCAUCUCUAAGGGCCCUUAAUCUUGAGGAUUGUGAUUUGCGAGGAAAAUUUCCAAGAAACAUUUUUCUCCUGUCUAACCUCAAGUCGCUCUAUUUAGGAUACAACGAAAACCUUGCUCUCUAUUUUCCAAAGGUGAACCGGAGCAUCAAUCUUCAACUUUUAGAUCUAUCAGGAAUGUCCUUCUCAACAGAAUCGAUAGAUUCGAUCGGCAAUUUACAAUCUUUGAAAUAUUUGGAUUUAUGUGGGACUUCUUUUCCUGGAGGGUUGCCUAAGACUAUCAUGAAUUUAUCAUCUUUGGAGCAUUUGGAUGCAUCAGGCUCAUCUUUCUCAGGAGGAUUGCCCAACUCAAUCGGGAAUCUAGUGUCCUUGGAGUAUUUAAAUCUUCAAUUAUCCGACUUAUCAGGAUCAAUUCCGAUAUCAUUGGGAAACCUCUCGCAACUCAAUUAUUUAGAUUUGACGUCCAACUAUUUUAGUGGACAAAUUCCAUCCUCACUUACAAACCUAAGACAACUUGAAUUAUUAGACAUUUCUUAUAAUCAACUAGAAGGUUCCAUUCCUGAUGAGGUAGCUGCCUUUCCUAAUCUAAUCUCUCUAGAUUUGUCUUUUAAUUUACUCAAUGGAACACUUCCCUCAUGGUUGUAUACAGCUUCCACAUUGAAGUACAUAGCUGUCAGGAAUAACCAACUCAAUGGUGAUGUCAAGGAAUUUCAAUACAAAUCACUAGAAGAGAUCUUUUUAGAGAAUAACAAACUCACAGGUCCUAUUCCAUCUUCAAUAUUCCAAUUUGUGAACCUUACUAUUCUUGACUUAUCAUCAAAUAAUCUAAGUGGUAUUGUAGAGUUUGACAUGUUCUCGAAACUCCAAAAUCUCCAACACCUUCAUCUUUCAUAUAACAGUUUAUCCUUAAGCUCAAAUGGUACUAGUGCUAAUUAUACAUUGCCCAAUCUUCAAUCUUUACACUUGUCUUCUUGCAAUGUCAAAGAAUUUCCCCAAUUUUUAAAAGGCUCAAAAAGUUUGCAACAUUUACAUCUUUUCAACAAUAAAAUUUAUGGCAAGGUUCCCAAGUGGAUGUUGGAUAUGGGGAAGGAAUCUUUGUGGACUUUGAAUCUAUCUCACAACUCUUUUACAGAUUUUGAGCCACUCCCAUGGAAGAAAAUUCAUAUUCUUGACCUUAGUUCCAAUUUGAUUCAAGGAAAUCUUCCAAUUCCACCUUCAACAACAAGAUUCUUUUUUAUCUCAAAUAAUAGUUUGAGUGGAGAGAUUUCUUCUCUAAUAUGCAAUGUGAGUUCUCUUAGAGUUCUUGACUUGUCUCACAACAACUUGAGUGGAAUAAUUCCACAAUGUUUUGGAAAUUUGAGCAAAAGCCUCUCAGUGUUGAAAUUGGAGAUGAACAAGUUUCGUGGAAUCAUUCCUCCUACUUUUAUGAAGAAAUGUGAUCUGAGUUAUCUCAACUUACAUGGCAAUCAAUUAGAAGGGCCUUUAACACAAUCCAUCAUUAAUUGUAGAGGUUUGGAAGUGCUAGAUCUUGGUAACAACAAGAUCAAUGAUACAUUUCCUCAUUGGUUGGGAAGUCUUGCACAGCUACAAGUUCUUGUGUUGCGAUCGAACAAAUUCCAUGGUUCCAUUCAUGGAGCUAGGUCUAGUCAUUCUUUCUCCAAAAUCCAAAUUUUUGACCUCUCAAAUAAUUACUUUACUGGUCCCCUUCCUGUUAAAUAUAUAAAAAAUUUCAAGGCCAUGACAAAUCUCACAGAAGAUGAAAGUGUAAUAGGGUCAUACAUUGGCGGGCAUGGAUCUGGUGGCUAUAGCUAUUCUAUUGGAAUUAGAAUAAAAGGAGUAGAGAUUGAAUUGGUGAAAAUUUUCAUCAAGUUAAUGAUCAUUGAUCUCUCAAAUAAUGAGUUUCACGGUGAGAUUCCAGAGGUUAUUGGAGAGCUUGACUCACUCAAACAGCUUAACCUUUCUCAUAAUAACCUCAAUGGUUGUAUCCCCACAUCAAUGGGGAAUUUGACAGCACUUGAGUCACUAGAUC